CACAGUGUUUGGAACAUCAACUGAAAAAUGCCAGGCAGAGCACACAAUGCUGAUGCCAUACGCCAAUCAGGCCUCUUCCAAAGGACUCAUCUGUUGCCCAAAAGCAUGAAAGACCAUUCAGGGAAAGACAUCAAGCUCUUAAAGGAUCACGAAAGGUGCUGGAGCCCAUCUCAGCUGCAUUCGGGCGGUAGGCGAGGUACACCCUGGACAAGUCGCCACCUCAUCGCAGGGCCAACACAGAUAGACAGACAACAUUCACACACUAGGGCCAAUUUAGUGUUGCCAAUCAACCUAUACCCAGGUGCAUGUCUUUAGUGGUGGGAGGAAGUGCCCGAAGGGAACCCACAAAGUCACGGGGAGAACAUGCAAACUCCACACAGAAAGUUUGUCUGAAUUAGCGCUUAUAAUAACAAUAUUACUAAUACUUGAACAU